CCUACGGUGUGCUGCAGUGGGGAAUAUUGGACAAUGGGCGAAAGCCUGAUCCAGCCAUGCCGCGUGUGUGAAGAAGGCCUUCGGGUUGUAAAGCACUUUCAGUGGGGAAGAAAGCCUUGGGGCUAAUACCCUCGAGGAAGGACAUCACCCACAGAAGAAGCACCGGCUAACUCCGUGCCAGCAGCCGCGGUAAUACGGAGGGUGCGAGCGUUAAUCGGAAUUACUGGGCGUAAAGCGCGCGUAGGCGGUCUGAUAAGCCGGUUGUGAAAGCCCCGGGCUCAACCUGGGAACGGCAUCCGGAACGGUCAGGCUAGAGUGCAGGAGAGGAGGGUAGAAUUCCCGGGGUAGCGGUGAAAUGCGUAGAGAUCGGGAGGAAUACCAGUGGCGAAGGCGGCCUUCUGGACUGACACUGACGCGGAGGUGCGAAAGCGUGGGUAGCAAACAGGAUUAGAUACCCCAGUAGUC
rnacentral:rRNA from 1 species